rnacentral:tRNA from 1 species
GUGCUUGUGGUGUAGUGGUCAUCACAUCCGUCUAACACGCGGAAGGUCCCAAAUUCGAUCCCUGGCAGGCACA